rnacentral:rRNA from 1 species
GACGAACGCUGGCGGCGUGCUUAACACAUGCAAGUCGAACGAUGAUGCCAGCUUGCUGGUGGAUUAGUGGCGAACGGGUGAGUAACACGUGAGCAACCUGCCCCUGACUUCGGGAUAACCGCGGGAAACCGUGGCUAAUACCGGAUAUGACGCGCUAUCGCAUGGUGGUGUGUGGAAAGAUUUAUCGGUUGGGGAUGGGCUCGCGGCCUAUCAGCUUGUUGGUGGGGUGAUGGCCUACCAAGGCGACGACGGGUAGCCGGCCUGAGAGGGUGACCGGCCACACUGGGACUGAGACACGGCCCAGACUCCUACGGGAGGCAGCAGUGGGGAAUAUUGCACAAGGGGCGCAAGCCUGAUGCAGCGACGCCGCGUGAGGGAUGACGGCCUUCGGGUUGUAAACCUCUUUCAGUAGGGAAGAAGGCCUUCGGGUUGACGGUACCUGCAGAAGAAGCGCCGGCUAACUACGUG